rnacentral:rRNA from 1 species
CCAUGCGCGCUGGUGGGAAGAAAGCUUUCAGGGUGUAAAGCACUUUCAGCGGGGAGGAAGGCGAUAAGGUUAUAACCUGGUCGAUUGACGUUACCCGCAGAAGAAGCACGGGCUAACUCCGUGCCAGCAGCCCGCGGUAAUACGGAGGGUGCAAGGCGUUAAUCGGAAUUACUGGGCGUAAAGCGCACGCAGGCGGUCUGUCAAGUCGGAUGUGAAAUCCCCGGGCUCAACGUGGGAACUGCAUUCGAAACUGGCAGGCUAGAGUCUUGUAGAGGGGGGUAGAAUUCCAGGUGUAGCGGUGAAAUGCGUAGAGAUCUGGAGGAAUACCGGUGGCGAAGGCGGCCCCCUGGACAAAGACUGACGCUCAGGUGCGAAAGCGUGGGGAGCAAACAGGAUUAGAUACCCUGGUAGUCCACGCCGUAAACGAUGUCGAUUUGGAGGUUGUGCCCUUGAGGCGUGGCUUCCGGAGCUAACGCGUUAAAUCGACCGCCUGGGGAGUACGGCCGCAAGGUUAAAACUCAAAUGAAUUGACGGGGGCCCGCACAAGCGGUGGAGCAUGUGGUUUAAUUCGAUGCAACGCGAAGAACCUUACCUGGUCUUGACAUCCACAGAACUUAGCAGAGAUGCUUUGGUGCCUUCGGGAACUGUGAGACAGGUGCUGCAUGGCUGUCGUCAGCUCGUGUUGUGAAAUGUUGGGUUAAGUCCCGCAACGAGCGCAACCCUUAUCCUUUGUUGCCAGCGGUUAGGCCGGGAACUCAAAGGAGACUGCCAGUGAUAAACUGGAGGAAGGUGGGGAUGACGUCAAGUCAUCAUGGCCCUUACGACCAGGGCUACACACGUGCUACAAUGGCAUAUACAAAGAGAAGCGACCUCGCGAGAGCAAGCGGACCUCAUAAAGUAUGUCGUAGUCCGGAUUGGAGUCUGCAACUCGACUCCAUGAAGUCGGAAUCGCUAGUAAUCGUAGAUCAGAAUGCUACGGUGAAUACGUUCCCGGGCCUUGUACACACCGCCCGUCACACCAUGGGAGUGGGUUGCAAAAGAAGUAGGUAGCUUAACCUUCGGGAGGGCGGUUAACCCCUUUGUAGU